UGUUAUUAAUAGCUUAGAAAGUAUGCACUGUUAAUUAUUGCCUUGUUUUGCAUUAACCCCCCCCCUUCCCCAACCCAGAUGUCCUGGGAGGAGCACCAGGUUGAUACCAGCAGAACAACUAGAUUCAGCCUUUCAAGUGCCUGAACUCAAACAUCCACAGACUGCGGGAAGAGUACACAGAAAGAAUUUGAGGAAAGCUUCAGCAGUGAAGAAAACCAUCAACAGCAGAAAGCUGGUGCAGAUGUAAUCGAAGGAAGAGGCCAAGUUCCACCCCAGCAAGCAGCAGAACUUGGAAGGUUUGACCAUGUGGUUUUGGCUUUAGAAUCAAGGAUUUGAGCAAGGAGUUAUGAAAUCUCCCUCCAUGACUAAGGAAAGCCCCUGAGGCCAGGUGUGGGUCAGGAGUGUCCUUUCACAAAGCCCAGAGAGCCAUUUGCAUGAAACUGUAAAAGUGAAGCCUGGAUUUUGCCUUGGAGACCCCAGGAUGUUGGAGAUGCCAGAGAAGUGGGAUACCUGCUGAGGAAAGCUACUAAGAGACAGUAGAAACAACCCCUGGGAGAGAGGAUUCCACUGACUGGGACUCCACUGCAGACACGACACAGCAUACAGACAUCAAG